CAUUCAUGCUGCCAGCCUUCCUGUGGUCAUGAACCAAGAAGAGAGGUCACAACAGAGCCUGCAAGGAGUACUUUUCAGGGUUUAUAGAACAUGGGCUUCUCCAGUGAAUGAAAUUGAGUGAACAGUGAUGUGUGGAGGUUGGAGAAGAGUCAAGAAUUGCCACAUGGCUACAGCAAGUCCAGAAGAAGCAGACUGCAGUUCAGAAGAGGGGAGCUGGCAUAAAGCUGAACACAGAAGAAUUCUAGAAAUUGGAAAGAGACCUGAAUCAAGGUCAGAAGGUUUCUCAUGAAUAAUUGAAGGCUUUGGUUAAUUUUAUUUCUGUUGCCCUCCAGAAUUAUGCAUUGCACUUCAACAGGAGUGAGUUAUUUUAUUCAAGAUGUUCAGAGACUCACUUAUGCUAUGGAAUCUUUUAGCAAAUCUGUUAGUUUCUUUCUUUUUUUUUUUCUCCACCAAGUAACUUUGCUAUCUUUCAGCCCAAAUCCAUGUUUGUGCAUACAACAUUACUUUAACUAUAACAUGUAGUGCAUCUGCUGAAGAGUUACUCAUAUUGUGAAUUGCCAGCUAAAAUGGUUACCUUCUCCUCAGUAUUUGUCUUUCUUGCCCAGACCAAGUAACCAGGUUGAUUUUGCAUGUAUGAGGAUAACUCUUACAGCUCACUUAGAGUCUUGCCAGGCGAUCCAUAGAAGAAUCCUCCCAAUUAGUUGCAGUAUAUUCUUACCUCUGCAAAAAAAGAGGUUUAGUCAGUGUGCUUAUUUGCCCUUUAGAUCCCAGUUUGAUAGCCUGCCAAAACAUUUUGUCUACUUUUGAUUCUCUGUCUCUGCACAGACCUUCAGUGACACUUUCCACCUGAGUUCUGUUUGCCACUGAGUGAAGAUGAUAACUCAGUUCUCAAAAGUGAAAUCAGUGUGUCAGAUCUGGGUAAUUUAGGCAUGUCCAGAAAGCCCCAGGCUUAAAAACUUCAAUAAACUCUAGAAUUUCAAUUGGUGUGCCAGACCCAUCAUUUGUUUCCACUUUGUCAUCUUACCACAGAAGUAUACUGUCAUUUGUCUACAAUGACUGUAAUUAAUGCCUCAGCUUGCAAUUCAGUCUUUGGAGGGCUGCAACAGGAUAAUACAUUCUUUACA